CAGUUGACCUAACACGAUUCACCAGCCCAUGUUCUCACCUUUACAGGUAUUGAAAAAUUGCCUUGUGCAUUGUGGCAAUAGAGACCAGCCUUCAGUUUUGCAGUCAACAGGUAUGGCGGACGCACUCCUUUCGGCUUCCCUUCAAGUUCUAUUCGACAGGUUGGCUUCUCCGGAGGUCAUCAACUUCAUCCGGCACAAAAGCUCAGCCAUGUACUCCUUGACAAGUCAGGAGAGUAGAAUCACUAGUUAAGUGUCAUUUUAGGAAACAUAAUAAAUAAUUUUUUAUAUUUUUAAAAGUA